GACUCAAUGCUCUGACAUCCAAUGGGGAAACAUUUCCUUUAGUAGUCAACUUUUUUUUUUUUAACCGUGAACUAUCCUGGGGAUUGAGGAAGAAUCUUAGUAUAAUUCAUGUUCUACUGAAAAUGACUGUAAACCUCUUUUCAAAAUAUUGUGAAACAUGUAAUAAAGGGAUAUGAAGAACGAUUUUAUCUUUCGAAGGACUAAUUACAUGUCUUUUUCGAUGUAUAUUUUAAGACUCCUAUGUUUAGAGGAAAAUGUUGGAAGCUGAUUUGGAACAUCUGAGCCCAUGGAUCAGUUUACACCUUGAAAGGGAUGUCUGCUCCAUUUAACCAGCAUAGCAGCACUUCCAAGAACAUUGAUCCUGAUUACAGCCCAUUCCAACCAUUUUCCCAGGAAGCAAUUUCUGCAAUUGUAAUGGAUAAAUAGCAUCCUCACCAACUGCCAACAAAUUUCAGUUUACAAGAAGAAUUUUAGGUAAAGAAAGAUACUACCUCUCUGAAUCCAGAAUCUGAACUGUUUGAAGAAGACACCAUAAAGAUGACUCCAGACCACAAGCUGCACAAGAAGAUCAAAAUGAACUUUGGGAACAGAGUGGCAGAGUGCAGGCAGACGGUGGCUCAGUGACUGAGUGUUAAGAUCUUGGAGAUACUAAAAAAAACUCUAUUAAAAAUGAAGAUUUACAGAGGAACACAUGCAUGGAGAUCUGGAAUGAUGCAGUGAAUCAGAGGCGGAUUUUAAAUGCAUUUUGUGCUGUUUUAUUGGAGUCAACUUGUACUUAACAACUCUUGCAUGCAUAAUGGA